GACAGAGGGUGCAAACGUUGCUCGGAAUCACUGGGCGUAAAGGGCGUGUAGGCGGGAAGGCAAGUCAGAUGUGAAAUCCCUGGGCUCAACCCAGGAACUGCAUUUGAAACUCCCUUUCUUGAGUGUCGGAGAGGAAAGCGGAAUUCCUGGUGUAGAGGUGAAAUUCGUAGAUAUCAGGAGGAACACCGGUGGCGAAGGCGGGAUCCUGGGCCAGUACUGACGCUGAGGAGCGAAAGCGUGGGGAGCAAACAGG
rnacentral:rRNA from 1 species